rnacentral:tRNA from 1 species
UACUCGCUUGGUGAAAAAAAGGAAAACACGAUGAAUUUAAAAUUCAUUCUUAAGUUAAGUUAUCGGUUCGAGUCCGGUAGCGAGUAU